rnacentral:misc_RNA from 1 species
AAGUCGUAACAAGGUUUCCGUAGGUGAACCUGCGGAAGGAUCAUUAACACGUAUCCAAACGUUAACCCCCUGUGAACCUUCAAUGUGCUCGUACACUUUGCAAUCUGGUAAAUCAUCGCCGAACCGUUUUGAUUCUGGGACUUCCUCAAAGAGUGUGCGAGGCAAGUGGCCUGGCAUUCCCAAGCAGUUAAUGUCUGAAAGUGUCAUUGGAGGCCGACACGGCCGACGACCGGGUCACCGGGCACAAGCCCCUUUAUCACCACUUGAUGCAUGACGCGCCAGCGCUUAAUUGUGCGGCGACCAAAAACCGAACAACUGUUAACAAUGGAUAUCUUGGUUCUC